rnacentral:tRNA from 1 species
AAUAGAGAAGUAAUUUUUACAAUUAGCUUCGACCUAAUAAUUAAGAAUAAUUAACCAUUCUUCCUAUUU